CCAGUCCUCUGGCAUCUCACCAGGCUGCUGACAGAGAAAGAGGUGGCAAAGGAAUUGCCUAAAACAGUGACAAAGUCUCUUGUGGAUGAAUUCCAGAGGAAAGCAGGACAAAAUUACCUUCCAGGUUUGAGGGUCUUACUGUCCAAGGAAGAGGAAAAAAAACCCACUAACAACUUUUGGCUUAGAGGAUGGCAAGCUGAAAUCGUGGCCCUUAUCUGUUCUGCCUGUUUGCUCUUGUGAAAAGCAAGGGACAGGUUUUCGAGCAGGACAGGUUUUCAAGGGCUCAUUGUCAACAGCUGUAACCACUUUCAGCACAGUUCACACCCAAAGGCAGGACACGAGCUCCUUUGGGAGCUGGAUGUACCCCGGUGCCACACGGGACAGCAUGGUGGCCCAGGCCAGCAUCACAACAGGGGUACUGGCACCUGCGCUCAGACCUGCGCCCUGCAAGCGGGGAGUUUGCUAGUGCAAGCAAACAUGCUUGAUGAGACCAGGCUUUCCGCCCCAGCCACCUACCCCAAGCAGUUUACAAACCAAGCCCCAAAUUACACGAAGCUUGCCCAUCCCACCACCGCACAUUUAUGCAGUCUCGCCACUCUCAAGCAAAGUUUUCAGCCAAGCAGUGAAGAAGUUGAUGCUUAACGCUGAAGGGGGAAAAGAAAAAUUAUAAAGGGGUAAGAGUCAGUGGCAAAGAGCUGCGAAUCCCGGCAGCCUGCAGUGCCUGCAGUGCCUCUUGCUUGCCUGCCCCAGCUCUGGGUUACCCUGCUGCGUGUGUGACUCAGCCAGGGAGAGUGAGCACUGGGAGGGGUCAGAAAUAAAUGUGUUUGGAGGAGGAAAAGUGUUUUCUGUAGGGGAACAGACCAGUACGUAGGACUGCAUGGUGGAAAUCCAACAUAAGCCUUGCGCAAGUCUAAUUGCUAUGAUCUCCCAUGACUGUCUUCUCAUUCCUUAAGUAAUUGAGGCUUCAGUUCAGCAAAGCAUUUAAGCUCAGGCUUCAUUUUGUGCUGUCAGUAAGUGCUUUGCUGAACAGGGGCUUAAAGUAUCAAGCUUAUUGCAUGAGAUUUAUCCCACCUAAUUUUAGAUGUUUGCAGUGCAGAUAUCUACACCAGAGGUAGCGACCCCAGGCUUUGCUCAUUAUUAAUGAGGAGAAAUAAGCAUUUCUGAGCUGCUAUUCAUAAGGCCUACUCUACCUUGGAAUGAGAAAUACCAUUCAGUAGAAAUGUUUGCAAGAGGAGCUUAAAAUACCUAGAUCAGAUGUAAACACCUACAAUCCGGGUACCUACAAUCAUAUACCUGAACCGCAACAACUUCCGAUGACAGAUAAGUAGAAAUAAACAUACCAAUUGGAUGGAAUCAGGCAAAUGCAAACUGAAUUUUUACAGAGCAAUGAAGCCAAAAAUUAUUUUUUUCAGUGAGAAAGUUAAAGUUUUAAUUGCUUUAAAGACAAACAGUGGAAGAAAAGAACAGACCGUCAUUAUUCCCUUGUUUAAGCAUUAUUUCUUUCAUACUUUCAUUGUCUGAACUAGCUCCUCUGCGCUCCAUUGCUUACUGAGGGUUCCUGCGCACCAGCCUCACUUUUAGAAAGCUGCAGCUAGGUAAGGUUUACCUCCUCUUGCAUCAGACAGAUAUUUUUAGAGCAGGAAUCCCAAAAAUUCAAGCUAUUUCUGCAGAAUUAUUCAACUGAGAACUUGUGUUUCUCUGAACGUUGAAAACUGCUGCUCUCCCUGCAUAGGCAACUGGGAUGUAAACUUCUGGGAAUUACUGCAAAUAUGGGAAUGCCUGGAAUCCCUGUGGGAAAUAAUUGCAAAACCUUUAAUCCUUGUUAUCUCUGAGAGCACAUAUUUUUGUUUGCUUGAUCAGCAGUGGGAGAGGAUGACCGAUUAAUAUGUUGGGCAGUAAAGCAUCACGCUGUUUCUCUGUUCCCCUGCCCCAGACUGCCUCUGGGAAGAUGCUGGUUCCUGAGCAAACAGCAUGGAACAGAAGAGCAGCAGCAAUACUUGGUGUGCAGUGGUGGUGGUGUCAGGCAUUGUGUGGCAACUGCAAAACCAGCAGCCGAGACUGCAGUUGCUGAAAGUAUAACAGAGCAGCAAAUACACUUUUGUUAAGCUUAAGCAGUUGGUGCUUAAUGUGGUCCAAUGCCUACAGCAGGAGUCAAGAACACCCAUUCAAGAACUAAACUGAGGCAGUAAGUUAGGAGUAAAAUCACUUGACAUUUACUUCUAUGAAUGGUGGAGACAGACAGCUCCAGAAACCAAUUCAUCCUAUCCCAAGGAAAAGAUUUAAAAUUUGUGGGUUGCAUCCUUCUCUGUAUACAGCAGCCUCUUUCUAACUUCAAGAAAGUCACCAGAUCCUUAAAUGAGGUGGAUAGUCCAGUCCUUGAAUGUUACUAACAUAAAACAUGUACUCCUUAGCACUGGAAAAAUCUUUUUUCUCUGCACUUUCAUACCUACCAAAAUGAGGAACAGGCUGAGAUUGCUGCUUCUUUGUGCUGUCACAGGGCAGCUGAUAACAGAGCUCUGGACUCUGUGAAACCUGCAAAGGGAAAAUUAAUUUACAGGACCACAACACAUCUUUCUCUUUUGAUGUUUAAAGCUUUCUGAUUCUAACACACAUUAGAGCUUCUACCACAAGCAGCAGCCUGGGAGAUAUAUGGGGACUGAAUCUGAUAAAGGGUUUAUUUUACUUGGGGGCAGAUUCUGUCUGGGUGUUUUGUGGGACUCAAAGAAGAGGAAAUGAUUCACCGACAAAAGGGGGAACAGAUGCCUUGACUCACAGUUUCCUGAUUUGACCACUAGACAAUUCCUCUAGCAAUUCCUUAGCGCAUCAGAAGGAUGGAUUAGCUUCUUAAUUCCUUAAACAUCAUUAAAUGGUUGUCCUGGAUUAUACAUCCAGGCUUAUACAUACUACCUUAUACAUACUGCCUCCUGAGGGAAAAUCUCUAGGUUUUAUUCUGCAGGUUUGUAGAAACAGUGGCAAAAUAAGUGUAUUUGCCCAACAACCUUGUUGAUGCUAAUGGAACCAAAGUGCCAAGUCUGCUGCACUGCUUUUCUCUUAUGUA